GCACACACACACACAUUUAUUAAUUUUAGCUUAUUUCUGGGGUUUUUUGGAGAAGCAUUUGACGGAUUUUAAAAUUCAGAGUUGGCAACACUGAUUGGCAGUGGAUAUCGUAACGUAGCCUAAAACCAAAGUUUCCGAACUGAUUUUGGAAUAAGUUUUAUCUCAUUCUUUAAUCAAAGUUAAUAUAAAAGUUUUUAUAUUAUAUUUAUUUUUUCUCCAGGUUUUGUUUCAAUUUGGUUUAACUGAGUUGCUUGUGUUCAGCACAAUGAUUGGAUAUGGAUGAAGUGCCGAAACACAGUCUGAAACCGAAUAUUCACAGAAGAAAGCUAAUAGCGUCUAUUUGGUGAUUCAGCGCUGAUAUUAUCUACUACAGCUUCAUGAAACCUGGUCAAUCGAUUACAGCGGAUGUCUACUGUAACUAACUAGGCGAAAUGAUGAAAAUGCUUGCGAUCAAACAGCCGAGAUUGAUCAAUAGACACAGGCACUGGACCAUUUCUUGCAAGGAAAAAUAUUCAAUUCUUAACAAGCUGUGGAAAACAUCUUCCGCGAUUUCAUCGUCACCUGUUCUUCAGGCUUCUUCGCUGCUGGCAUAAAUAAAUUACCAUUAAAAUGGCACAACUGUGCCGAUAGUUUAGGCGU
rnacentral:misc_RNA from 1 species